UAUUCUCUGUGUCCAGCUUCUGCUGUUCUCUCCUCUCUCCUCUCCUCUCUUCUGGUUUAUCACCUCUGUCAGAAAAAAGCUAAAGAACCUCCAGCUGAUCAGCAAAGACCUCACACAAGACUGAAUCAGGAUGAAGAUGUGUGUUAUGCUGCUCUGGAAAUCCGUCCGGCAUCACAAAGACCAAAGAAGAAGAAAACCCAGAGUUCUGACUUCAGCACCUAUUCUGCCAUCAAUACUUCUAGGAUGUAGA